rnacentral:rRNA from 1 species
UACCUGGUUGAUCCUGCCAGUAAUCAUAUGCUUGUCUCAAAGAUUAAGCCAUGCAUGUCUAAGUACAUGCCGAAAUAAGGCGAAACCGCGAAUGGCUCAUUAAAUCAGUUAUGGUUCCUUAGAUCGUUUUUUCCUACUUGGAUAACUGUGGCAAUUCUAGAGCUAAUACAUGCAGUGAGCCUGAAGCCCUUUGGGCGACGGGUGCUUUUAUUAGACCAAGAUCGAUCGGGUUUCGGCCCGUAUUGUGUGGUGACUCUGGAUAACUUUGUGCUGAUCGCAUGGCCACGAGCCGGCGACGUUUCUUUCAAGUGUCUGCCUUAUCAACUUUCGAUGGUAGGUUACUUGCUUACCAUGGUUGUUACGGGUAACGGAGAAUCAGGGUUCGAUUCCGGAGAGGGAGCCUGAGAAACGGCUACCACAUCCAAGGAAGGCAGCAGGCGCGCAAAUUACCCACUCCCGGCACGCGGAGGUAGUGACGAAAAAUAACAAUACGGGACUCUUUUGAGGCCCCGUAAUUGAAAUGAGUACACUCUAAAUCCUUUAACGAGGAUCAAUUGGAGGGCAAGUCUGGUGCCAGCAGCCGCGGUAAUUCCAGCUCCAAUAGCGUAUACUAAAGCUGCUGCGGUUAAAAAGCUCGUAGUUGGAUCUCAGUUCCAGACGAGUAGUGCAUCUACCCGAUGCGACGGCUCGGACUGAACAUCAUGCCGGUCCUUUCUUGGUGCACUUCAUUGUGUGCCUCGAGAAGGCCGGUGCUUUUACUUUGAAAAAAUUAGAGUGCUCAACGCAGGCGAGUCGCCUGAAUAAACUUGCAUGGAAUAAUAGAACAAGACCUCGUUUCUGUUCUGUUGGUUUUUGGAAUACGAGGUAAUGAUUAAGAGGGACAGACGGGGGCAUUCGUAUUGCGGCGCUAGAGGUGAAAUUCUUGGACCGUCGCAAGACGAACUACUGCGAAAGCAUUUGCCAAGAAUGUUUUCUUUGAUCAAGAACGAAAGUCAGAGGUUCGAAGGCGAUCAGAUACCGCCCUAGUUCUGACCAUAAACGAUGCCAACCAGCGAUCCGCCUGAGUUACUCAAAUGACUCGGCGGGCAGCUUCCGGGAAACCAAAGUGUUUGGGUUCCGGGGGAAGUAUGGUUGCAAAGCUGAAAUUUAAAGGAAUUGACGGAAGGGCACCACCAGGAGUGGAGCCUGCGGCUUAAUUUGACUCAACACGGUAAAACUUACCCAGCCCGGACACUGGGAGGAUUGACAGAUUGAGAGCUCUUUCUUGAUUCGGUGGAUGGUGGUGCAUGGCCGUUCUUAGUUGGUGGAGCGAUUUGUCUGGUUAAUUCUGAUAACGAACGAGACUCUAGCCUAUUAAAUAGGUGCGGGGUUCCCAGCACCUUACAACCUUCUUAGAGGGACAAGCGGCUCCUAGCCGCACGAAACAGAGCAAUAACAGGUCUGUGAUGCCCUUAGAUGUCCGGGGCCGCACGCGCGCUACACUGAAGGAAGCAGCGUGUCUUUAUCCCUGUCUGAAAAGACUGGGUAACCCGUGGAACUUCUUUCGUGAUUGGCAUAGGGGCUUGCAAUUGUUCCCCUUGAACGAGGAAUUCCCAGUAAGCGCGAGUCAUAAGCUCGCGUUGAUUACGUCCCUGCCCUUUGUACACACCGCCCGUCGCUACUACCGAUUGAAUGAUUUAGUGAGGUCUUCGGACCGAUGUCCGGCGCGGCCUUUCGGUUGCGCCGGUCUGUUGGAAAGAUGACCAAACUUGAUCAUUUAGAGGAAGUAAAAGUCGUAACAAGGUUUCCGUAGGUGAACCUGCGGAAGGAUCAUUA